GAUCCCAGCCCCACCUGCCCCCCCCCAGUUCACCCUCAGAAUCUUAUUUCCCCUUCCCAGGAAGACUCUCGUAUCCCCCAUUUAAGCCUUCCUUGCCACUUAGCCUCUGUGGGUCUGUGAAUCAUGGUGUGGUUUUCUUACAGCUAUAAUAUCCACUUGUGAACACAUAACCAUGUUUGUCCUUCUGGGUCCCCUCACUCAGGAUGACUUUAUGGGUCUCAUAACUGCUAAUUUCUCAGCUCCAAAUUUUGGCAAAAUGUCUCAGUAUUGAUUGUCCCAGUAAGACAAAGGGCUUACUAUAUAUAGCACUUCUGGUCUCUUGUUAACUUAGUCAACUAUUAAGCCCCAUCUAAAACCAUAGAAUUGUAACUUUAACAAAUGGCCCCUAUAGACUUUAAGUUUCCUCAAAUUUUGCAAGUCAGGCCUUUAUCUUCUGCACUGCCCUGGAUGUUCUUUUCUUUAAUUUUUAUGUGCAUUGUUUUACCUGCAUGUCUAUCUGUAUGAGGGUACAGUUGUAGCUGCCAUGUGGGUCUUGGGAAUUGAACCCAGGUCCUCUGGAAUAACAGCUAGUGCUCUUAACCACUUAGCCAUCUCCAACCCCUAUUGUCUUCCAUGCUCCUAAAAUAACCAAUCUCAUUGAGUUCUCAGCACUAAAUGGCUUUUUCUAGUUCAAGGCCUCUCCAAAACAUUCAGGUCUGUCAUAGAAAUACCAUACUAUCUUGGUACCAACUUAGUUAGGGUUACUAUUGCUAUGAUUAAAAAUCAUGAUGGAAGAAUCUUGGAAGAAAAGGAUUGAUUGUUUCUACUUCCACAUCACAGAUCAUCGGGGAUGGAAGUCAGAGCAGGAACCUGGAGGCAGGAGCUGAUGCAGAAGCUAUGAAGGGUGCUUUUACUGGCUUGCUCCCCAUGGCUUGCUCUUACAGAAUCCAGGACCAUCAUCCAAGGGAUGGCACCACUCAAAGGCUUGGCCCUUCCAUCAAUGACUAAUCAAGAAAAUAUCCUAUAGGCCUGCCUACAACCUGAUCUGAUGGAGGCAUUUUCUCAAUUGUGAAUUGGCAAACCAUGCACACAAUUGUUGUGGACAGAGUCCUACAGACACAUGAGGUAACAUAGCAUAGCGUCUGGGGGGUGUAGCCUUUCUGGUCACCUCCAAGGAAAUGGAAUAGUGGUCUAUGAAGACAAGACAGCUCUUCAUCAACUCAAGUAUCUUCAGAGAAAGAUCCCACCUGUCCUUCUGAAAUAGCAGCCUGCAUGUAGAGGAGUCCUGAGGGCAGUGUUGAAUUGCAGCCAAUGGGAUGUGGCUGAGACGCAUCCCCUUUAACACUACUUGGUGUCGGGUCUGAGAAUCGGGCUAGCAGACUCUUCAGCAAGACCAGUGGAUGGGACAGAUCAGCACCUGGAACUUACCUGCCCCACGGAGUCCUAAAUCGCAUGUCUCUGGCAGGAGAAUUUCCUUUUUAAUCAUGAUUGUUAUAAGUACAAGUGGGGUUUGAGCCAAGAGGCAGUGGCUGGCAGGUUUCCUCACACAUCUAGAAGACAGGACAAUAGGGCAGAAGUACCCCAGCUCUACCUGAGUCCUUUUCAAUCUAAGCCAGAAAAUAUAGGAUUGAAUGUCCUAUAAGGCAAGUCACCUAGACUAAUUUUCAAGGAUACUCACAUUUGGAUCAACUUGAAUGUUUUGAUUAAUGAAGAUGGUUCCUUUAGGGCCACAUACAGAGGUUGUCCUAUGACAGGUGCUGAAAUGACUAGGAGGUUGCACUGAGCUUUCCAUGACUUGUCAUUCCUGUGUGGGAUGACAUUCAAGAUGGCACAGAUCCUCCAUUUCAGUAUUGACCUUAAACUUCCAUGUUCUUGCUGACUGUCAGGAAUGGAACGAAUGUCACCCAAUUCUCCAGGUUUUCAUCCUUCAGUCAUGGGUGAUAUUAACACUGUAAUCCAUAGAUGGGAAUAACCUGAUGCUCUGCAUGAUAGCAGACAUUCAAUAUGGCCAUGCCUUGGAAAACAAUGAACCUGUUCUCCAUGGUAUCACAUUGCUUUAGGGUACCUUCAUAUGUGGCAUUUGGAUUGGGGUUUUUGCCUCACCUUUGUGAGAAAUUGCAGUGACUAGACAUUUAGGGACUCCUGUCUGGAGUCUUCUCAGAUCUUUGACUUAGAGUCACACCCGGUCACUUUCUCAAGUAGGGCACAUUUCCUGCAUGCCUCUAUCCUUCACUGGGCCUUUCUCGCAUGGCAUGCCUCUAUCCUUCACUGGACCUUUCUCGCAUGGCAUGCCUCUAUCCUUCACUGGGCUUUCUUUGCAUGUGAGCCCCACACUUGAGUUGUCAAAGGGCUGAGCGCUGUCCCUGAACUAAACAGGACUGCUAGACUUGAUUAGACAUUCAUCUACUCCAGUUCUGAGACUUACUUUGCGUUUCUAGCAACUUCAUUAUUGGUCUCCUAGCUUGACCUGCUCCACAGAAGAUAGGACUUGGGGACUAAUGUUUAUCAGUACCUGAGCCACUGAGUAGGAUACUGCAUUUCUCAUUAUCCCUGUAACCAUGGGAAUUCCCAUGACUCCUGGCCAUUGUGCAAGACUUGUUUAAAGGCCUGUCUUUGCAGACAAGCAAUUUACUGAGAGGUCCUAUGAGUGUUAGCAAUGACCUUCCCAAUAAAAUGCCUCAAAGAUCCUAUAAACUUCUCCAUCAGUAGAGGUGAUAGCAAUUAUUAAAGGACUGCUACCCUUUACACAAGUCAGAACUCUGCACUCCCAUGAAGACUCACAGCUUAUGUCUGCAUUGAGGACUCCAAAUACUAAUGUGCACAUUUAAGACCAAUGUUUCUAUAACCUCAGAUUUGCCCCAUUUGCAUUGCUUGUCAGAUUGUCACAUAGAUCAGGAGGACUUUGGCCAAGAGUCCUGCCUUCAGAUGGGAAGAACACACAUGAAAUCUUGCAAGUGUUCGCUGGACAGUGUUGUGGGGGUAAGGCAUUGAGGGUCAUUGUGACUUUCUAGUUGAAGUUUUAAGUCAGUUUCUACAUCAAAGUUUUGUUAUACCUUGCAGUGGAGAACACUUCAGGAAGUACAGUGAGAACCACACAUGUCCACUCACCGAAGAUUGUCUUUUCUCUUAGAUGCCAAUAAAGGAAAUAAACCCUCUGCCCAGAGUCGAGGGAGAAAGUGGCUAAGAGGCUAAUUGUAAAGUUCAUCUGGUAUGAGAGACUUGGACACUGUCAUGCAUGUAGCAGACAUUCUUACAGAGAGGACAAGGCUUCCCCAUGUGGUUCUUCUUGGAACCAUCACUUCUGGAUUAGUGUAUACCUGCCCUUGAUUUCAUCAACCUAUACAUGCAACCCUGGGCAGGGGAGCCUAUGAAUCCAGAAUAACUAGCUUCCUGGGGGUGAUGCUUCCAUACUUAAAGGGGACACCUAUUUCCUACUGUCAUGCCUUUCUCCAACAGAGCUAUGAGUGUCAUGCAGAGAAUGCUCUUGGCUACUUUGCCCACCCUGGUGUCAGGGAUUGCAAUGAACUUCUAGGUAUACCACAAGAAUCAAAAGAACUUGGCAACCUUCUAGAAUAUAUCUAUGGAGAAUGGCAAUUCGGCAUUUUAGUGGACCCAGAAAAUCUUAUUUAAAUCUUAUUUGAUUCAAUGAGAGAUAUCUUGGUGCAUAUGAACUUGAGUGCCAGGAAUUAGCAAUGGUGUGGUCUGAAAUGGUCUCUGGAUUAACUUAGUUUUUAACUUAAAACUUACAGGUCCCAAUUCACUCUCCCUCCUGUCCCCCCAUUUCUCACACCAUAUCCCCAUUGCACUCCCAUCCAGAGGGUGAGGCCUCUCAUGGGGAUCAUCAAAGUCUGUUAAAUCACUUGGGACAGGACCUAAGGCCCUCCCCUCUGCAUCCAGGUUGAGCCAAUGUCUCCCUCCAUAGGGAAUGGGCUCCAAAAACCAAUUCAUGCACUAGUGGCAAAUACUGGUUCCUCUACCAGCAGCCACCAUAGGCUGCCCAAGCCCCCCAACUGACACCCAAGUUAAGGGGGGCCUAGUUCAGUCUUAUGCAGGUUCCCCAGUUCUCAGUGUGGAGUUUGUGAGCUCCCACUUGGUCAGGUCAGCUUCUUUAAGCUUUUUAAGCAUCCCAGAAACGAGCUACACAGAAUUAGGUGUGGGUUUGUCUACAGGCCUGUGGAGCCCUUUUUCUAAGACUGACUUCUGGUCGGUCUUGUCUUGGCUCAUCCACUCCUAAACCUCUACAACUAGUGAGCUGAGUACCUUCAUUGCAGGAUUCAAAGGUGUUGAUCUCAAACCUUUUUAACUCCUGUACCAUCCCCAAAGGAUUCAGUCUUUGUGUCAAUGCAAGGUUGAAGUUGAGCUGUCAUAAGGAUCAGAACUUGGCUGUUUGAGAUCAAGAUCCAAGAAUCUGAAGGGUUAAUAUCAAGAAAAUCCAUCUUGAGUAUUUCACCCCUCUACCAAAUUCUUGCUGCAAAACUGUUUUCAAUUCCCUCAGACCGAGUCUGACUCUGCAACCGUAAAAUGCAGGUUCUGGGCCUGCUGUCUUCCUAAAGCAAUCAGUUAGGAACUUUCUCCCCAGCUACAGCAAUAUUCACUUUCUCCCCAGCUACAGCAAUAUUCACAUCUCAGAAGGUCAGUGCGGCCCUACCCUUGUAGAGUCCAUGAUGGCCAAAACUGAAUGGAGAUGGAAUGUGUAUUGAGGUGGAUUUCUUCAGAUGCCCACACAGGGUAACCUGAUCACCUGAUAUGCUACUAGGAGCUCUGGUACCUGUUCCACUGGAAGAAGGAAAUUUUACUAGUCUCAAGUUGAGCAUCCUGCAGCUUAAGUUGUGACUCAUCUGUGAGCACAGGGUUAACCUUCUGACACCUGUAAGGGUGUAUCUGCUUUAACACUUGGAUUUGAGGUGUAGAGGAGUAGUUCCAUAAUUGCCGGAAUUUGUGAUAGGAGUUACAAUCCAAAGAUGAGCAGCUCCAUGGACACCCUUUCCAGUUCAUCGGGACAGGGAGCUUCUAAGAAUCAAGCAGUCUUGCGAACUGAGGCAACGCUUACCCUUUCAAAGGGUUAUGGGCCCUUAGGUUUCAAGUUCCAUCUAGAUACUCUCACUGUAGAGUCCUGUGUUGAAGUUACUGCCACCAGGCAGAUGAGCUCAUGGCUUUCUAUUUUAGACUCAGUGUUCAAGACAUAGGUAGAACACAAGUAGGUAAUCUUUCAUACUGAGGCCUAGUUCCAAAGAGUCCCUGAUCCUUUCAGGGUUAUACUAUCCAGCUCUCCAUGCUGGAAAAUGAGAAUUCUGAUGGGAAUAGAAGCUCUACCCAGAAUGUCCCUUGAUCUUUCCUCGUGGCGUUGGUGGCACACGCCUUUAAUCCCAGCACUUGGGAGACAGAGGCAAGAGGAUCUACAGAGCAAGCGCCAGGAUAGGUUCCAAAGCUACACAGAGAAACCCUGUCUUGGUGGUUUUUAAAAGAUCUUUCCUACACUGACUUUUUCUAGCUCAAAGUGCCAAUUCACACACCUGUUCACCAAUGUUUUCACCGCAUGGUUAGGUUCAUCUGAACACAACUCCACUCCUAGUAACAAUCUUAUGAGGUACAUGGCCUUAGGAUUCCCAAAAGAAGUUUCCUUGACCAUUUCCUUUGGCUAGUUGUCACUUCUAUUCCAAGCACGAGUAGGGAAGGAAAGUUUCCCAAUAAAAAUGACUCUUCUAACCCCAACAAGGUGUAAUAGGUGACUUGAAUUCCAAGGUAUAAAACACCUGGAAGCUAAAAGAACUGGACCACCUGUAAUGGGUAGACUUAAAGCCAGGUUGGUACUUUCCUCUUGCCUAGAUAUACAACACCCCCCCACCCCUUGUAGUUGGAAACAGCUAGCAAGCAUCUUCCCUAUGUCACAUACUGUGUGCUGGCAAGACAUUUGACUCCAGCCUGACAAAGAGCAAUACAGCAGCUGAACUUGAUACUGUAUUUGGACUUCUGCGAAACCUGGACAAAGUCCUACAGACACGUGGGGUAACGUAAGAUGACCCUUUGAGGUGUGUGGCUGUCCUGGUCAUCUUUAAGAAAAGUGGAUUGGAGUGUGCUAUGAAGUCAGAAGUCAACUCAAAGUGUCUUCACCACAAGGUCCCAUCUGUCCUCUGAAAUGGGGGGGGCCUUGCAUGCAAGAGGCUUUGAAGGCACUGUUAAAUUGAAGUUGAUAACCAAAGAGGGAUGACUCUGUGCCAUUACUUGGUCUCAGGUCUUAAAAUUAAGGAAUGACAGUCCAUUCAGCAUCACAUAUGUGGAUUGAUGGAUGAUAAAAAUGGGAACCUAGAACCAACCUGUCCAUGGAGCCCCUUGAUCAUGUCUCUGGCAUGAGCAUUUUUUUCUUAAAUCACAAUUUUUCCAAGUAGAAGGAAUUUGGGCAAGAGAUAAGUUCCUCAUCCCUCACUAUCCUGAGAGAAAAGACAUAGGGCAUAAUAUACCAGAUCUUCUUGAGUCCCUCUUAAUUUAGCCAGAAAGCAUCCACAAUGUAGGAUGAGUGUUCUGUAAGACAAGUCACCUGGACUAUUCUUGGGGAAUCUCACAUUUGGAUCUGGUUGAACUUAUUUUGACAGCAGUCCAAGGAAAGGAUGGUUCCUUCAUCUAGGGCCAUAUUCAGAGGUGGUUCCACCACCAGAGAUGCUUUUGAAAAUGACCCACAGCUUUAGAUGGGAUUUCUCUGACUUGUCAUUCCUGUGUGGGAUGAGGUUGAGACCACAACAGGUGAUCUUCCAUUUCUGGGUGUAGCUUAAAUGCAAGGUUCUUACACAUUGCCACAUGUCAGUUGUGUGACGAAUGUCAGGAUCAUUCUCUUCAGACUCACCACUUGGGUAUGAGAAUAUUCCUAAUGCUGAGCAUGAUAGCAGCUACUCAAUAUGGCUGUGAUCUUGUUAACACAAUGAACCCAUUCUCUGUGCACCUCAUUGCUUUAAGGCACCUUGGGAGUGAGGCACAUGAGUUGGUGGUUUGCCUCUCCUUUGUGAUCAAUUGCAGUCAUCUCAUCCCAAACUGAAGACAUUCACGGUCUUCCCCUUAAAGUCUUAAAUGAUACAGGGUGUCACUCUAAACCAAGUAUGGAACACUGCCUACGUGUUUGGCACCACUUGGCACCUUAAUGGAGCCGGAGCUGAAUAGCUUAGCUCUGGCCCUGAACUGGAUGUAGGCUGCUGGGCUUCAUUAUAGACCCUUUGUCUAUUACAACCCUCAUUGUGAGAUUUGUUUAUAGCAAUUUCUUCAUUGGUGUUUCCUAAAGCGUGAAGACCUGCUCCUCAGAAGAUAGGUCUUGGGAACUCACAAGCCUGUGCAAUUGAACAUACUUAAGUAGACCAGAGAAUACUCUCCUGUUCAAUGAAAUAAGGGGUACAGACAUCUUGGUGGAUGGGCAUGAGUGGCCCUCAUUUUAUCACUGGUGUGGUCUGAAAUGGCCUCUGGAUUAACUUUAACCAUCACAGAAACCAUAGCUAUGCAGAAACUAGGUGUGGGCUCUUGCCCGCAGGAGUAGGGCAGUCUCUCUUUUCUAAGACACCAGCAAUCAGGUCUUGUCUUGUCUGCUCCUAACCCUCAACCGCUGUGUGGAGUACUUGAAUUGCAGUACUCAAAGGUGUUGCAUCUCAAACCUUUUUUUCCCCCCUCUGGACUACCUCAAAGAAUUCAGUCUGUCAAUCCAAGGUCAAAGCUCAGCUGUUAAGGAUCAGAUUGGCUGGUACAGAACAAGAUUCACAUCUUGAGUCAUUAUCAACCGGAUUCCAUUGUGUUUAAGUGUUUGAGUAUCCCUCCCUUAUUUUACUACCCAGUCUCCAUCUCCUGAUGUUCUUGAUGUUUUUUUCAAUCCCUCCUAAGUAGACCCCACUUACUGAGCUGAGUCUGCAACUCUGAAUAUCAGGUUCUGGUCUCCUUUAGGGAAGACAAGCAGUGUCUGUGAAAGGCACUUGGGUGUCACUUGUAACCAGUAUGAUUGCCACCCUCACUCUGGCCUUAUGGACUUCAUGACAUGCCCAAUGGAUUUUUUUUGCUGUUAGAAGCCUUUUCAGCUUUCAUGUCUGAAUGUUUGACUGUUCACACAAGAGAUGGCUUCUGCAAUGUGUGUGAAGAGAUGUGUUCAAGACAUAAUCGCAGUGAAGUUCAUGUUGAAGGACCCAAUUACUAAGAAUGACCCUGAGUUAUCUCCUCUGGUUGCCAAACAGGAUCAUGAGUAUCUUGACUCAAGGUAUAGACCAUCUUCAAGACCUUCCUCAUUCUCCCUGAUGAGACUAAAUAGUUAACUGAAUGGUCAUCUCCAUGAUAGAGGUUCAUGUGGAACCCAGGAAGUUCUUUGCAGAACUGCUAGAGGAUUAUAAACCGCAUCUGGAGACUGCUUCUCAGUGCCCUAUCUUUAUAGUGGCCAAGCUAAUGGAUUUAGUGUACUUGUGGGACAUCCUUUUAGAAAUGGGGCUAAUGUGGUAGACUUGGAUAAGCCCAUAUGGACUUAUGGGACUUAAUUACAUGGCCUUUGUGUGUAGCCUCCUGGUCACUUUUAAAGAACUAGAUUCAUUUAAGGAAUUGGAUUAGAGUGUGCUAUGAAGACAAGGGCAGCUCUCAGAUCAAUUCAUCUGGAGUGUCUACAAGAUUCCAGCUAUCCAUCUGAAAUAGGGACUUUGCAUGUAGGAGAGGCUUUUGAAGCCCAUGUUAAAUUGUAGACAUUGACCAAAGGUCUGUCACUCCUUGGUCUCAUAUCUGAUAAUCAUGGGAUGACAUUCCAUUCAGCUGCACAUAUACCACGAUUAGUGGGUGACAGAUUUGCACCUGGAACCCACCUACCCAUGGAGCCCUUUGACCACAUGUCUGAUAGGAUUACUUUUUAAUCAUGAUUGUCCCAUGGGCUUUAGGGAUGGUAACUGACUUCAACUGUCAUAGUCCUUGGCUCACCUAUCUGGACAGGAAGGACAAUAGGGCAGAUGUACAUCCAUAUCUGCUUGAGUUCUUUAAAAAUUAAGCCAGAAUAUUAAGUAAUAUGGAUGUCCUAUAAGGCAAGCCACCUUGCCUCUUGAGGGAUGCUCACAUUUCUAUCUUACUGAAUGUCUUGACCAAUGAUGGAUUCAUGAUCUAGGGACACAUGCAGAGGUGCUGAAAUAGCUUACAAGGAGCUUUCCAUGACUUGUCAUUCCUGUGAUGUUUUGAGACUCAGGUGAUUGAUCAUUUAAGUGCCCACUUUAAAUUCCCAUGUGCUUGUCAACAGAUGUCAUCUGGGUGAUAAGUAUGUCGGAAAACUAUCCAGAUUUUCCUCCUCCAUUCAUAGGUGGUAAAAUUGUAAACCUUGUAUAAGAAUAUUCCUGAUUCUGUGCAUGACAGGAGCUAUUCAACACUUGUUAACAUGGACCAGUUUUCUAUGUAUCCUGUUGGAUAAGGCACUUUGGGAUGUCUGAUUCUUCAGUGCUCCUACCCAGUUUUUAAAGCCACACACCUAUAGUGUUGGUGUCAAAGGGCUGAGUUCUGCCCUUCAACUUGGCAUAGGUUCUUGGACUUGGUUAUAUACCCUUGUCUUAUAACCUCUUCAUUGUAGGGUUGACUUCUUUCCUUGAGGCCACUGGGCUUGCUUUAAAACUGAGGAUGUGACACUCAGAAUGGGAUAGGGCUUUGGAGAUUCAUAAGUCUAUGCUUCAGUGUAGCUAAAUGACUAUCUGCCUCCAUACUCCUCCUGAUUGCCAUGAGAUCCCUGUGGGUCCUGCUCCUUUGUGUAAGACAUGGCCAAAAGAUGGUCCUUGUGCAUUCAAUUUCUCAAGUUCCCUGUGACUGUUACCAAAUGACACCUCCCAGGUUUCUCCGGGGUCGAGGUGAGAACUACUCAGGAUCCAGACUACUUUCAAUGGAAUUAAAUGUGAGCUGGCCUCUAUAGCAGGCAAGGCAGAUUUUCUUCAAAAGGCAUAACCCAAACUCUGGGUAUCCAGCGCAUUUCAUGAUUCCUGAGUGAAUACAACUUACCUUGAUGUCCACAUGUGCAUUACACUUACUGGGAGCCUAUGACUCGGGAAUGGCCACCCUACUUGGUUCAUAGCUACUCAUCUUUGCUUAGAAGGACAUCUUAUAUUUUCUACAGGGGUGUUGGUCUCUGAGGAAGAGUGGACUGUUCUGGACAUAAUGUCUUUAUAGCUGAUGUAUGUAGAAGGGAGAAGAUUCAUGUGAUGGGGUCUAUAGCUGAGCCAAUGGGAAAACACCCCUAUCCAUUUAAAGAUAGAAACAGCAUCAUAUUCUUCUGGGACAUUCCCAAAGAGAAUGCUGAUUAGGAAUUUGUAUGGCACCAAAAGAAUUUGUUUAGUGAGAUGAGGCUGAUAACGGAAGUCUCUUGGGUAUUCGUGCAUGAGUGGCAUGCAUCUGUAACAUGCAUGCUACAUCUUGGUGACCUUAACCUGUCAGACUCAGCCAUACAUGAAUCAGUCAUGCAGAACUAGACAAGGGAGGAGGCCAUUGUCUCAAGAGUGGCUGGAGCCCCUUUCCUAUGAGCUGUGACUCAUACCUUUUUCCUGUCUCUCCUCACCCACUCCUAACCCUCUUCACUGGGCAAGCAGAUCCACCUCCAUUGCAUAACCCACCAUUGGUCUGUUUUGAAGGCUUCAGGAGAGGUAUAGGUCAGCUUUCUCCAAUGACACACCUAAUUCUUUGCUUCAUGAUUAUCAUUUUGGAAUUUAUUGGGGUAUGGUUUCUGGAAGAAGGGAUAUCUCUAGAGAAAAGACCAAGGCAUCUCCAGAGGCAUGCCUCCAACUUAGAAGUUACCCAGUCCUCCAGCAGGUUAGGGCUGUGGAGAAACCAGUCCUGCCUGUCUCUCCUUAAGGCUGAGCAGAAUGGAGAGUGUAAAUGACUCGGACCCUGCUCCAAGUCCCGACUCAGUGUGGUCCUCUCCAGGAAGACUUGUCAAAGCAUAAUCUCAAUCUUUUUGCAUCAGGCAGGUACUUAUAUAGUGCUGAAAAGUUGGAUGGGAGUCUAAGGAUGGAUUAAGGGCCAAUGACAUUUUGCUAGGCCGAGGUAGCUUUAGGUUGGGUAGUGCUGAGUCACUCUCAUGUGUAAAUUACAGACCAAAAACAGGUCACCAAGCUGGAGUCAGGCUCAGGAAAUUACAUUAGGUCUCGUGUCCCAACAAGAAGGGUCUUCUUUCCAGUCCUGAUAAUGGUCAAGAGUUGACAUGAUCCAGCUAUGGUCUCCUGUGCUGUUACUGUGUCCUAUCUGAUCUGAGAGCUCAGAAAAGUGUUUUGUCUUAACUAAGAAUAAUCCAACCUAUUAACCUGAUUGUGGUGUCCUGCCAGACAAAUCAAUGUGAGGACUGGCUCAGAAGUGGUGGUGAGUUGAGCUUCUUGGGUGGAGGUGGAUGGGUAAGGACAGAUGUGAUUGGAUGGGUAUGGAGAAGGCAUUUGUGCUAGGGACCACGUGAGAGUGGUAUGUAUAGCUGUCGGGUUGUGGGUAGCCUGGGAGGGCCCAUGUUUUUAUAGGGAUGGGUUGGAAAUCUUGCAAGAUCAACACUUAAUCCCUUUCUGGUGUUCAAGUCUUUAAUGAUGGAGAAGCCUGGCUGGUAGAGCAAUGAUGGGAAGAAGGCUGACUUCCUUCAGGCUCAUCUCAAAGUGGGGGUGGGGUGUCUUACAAAUCAAGGGUGUUGUGUUUUACCCUUCUGGCUCUUCGGAGGGCCUGUCACCCAGCUCCCAAAUAAGAGGCUUAUAUGAAUGCUCGGACUUGGCUUGUUUUCUAACCAGAUUUCCUGAGUUAGCCCAUCUACUUUUGCUUCUGGGCUUUUACAUACCUUUCUUUCCUUCUUCCUGUGUGGCUUGCUGUGUAGCAGGUUGGUUGGCCCCUGAUGACCUCUCCCUAGAUCUCUUCCCAGGUUCCUCCUAAUUCUCUCUGCCUGCUCACCCCGCCUUUCCUUUCUCCUGCCUAACUAUUGCCAUUUAGCUCUUUAUCAGACCAAUCGGGUGUUUUAGGCAAAGUAACACAGCUUCAGAGUUAAACAUGCAACAACACAUCUUUGCAUCAUUUAAACAAAUUCUACAACAUGAAAGAAUGUAACACAAACUAAUCUACAACACAAGGAUUUCCCCUUGCUUCCCAAAUCUGAAGCUGUCAGCAGGUCAUGGACAGAAACAACUUAAGCCAACUGGCUUCACAUCUUUCUGGCCAUCAACAGGGAGAGGACAGAUGAAUGGGACUUUGGAAAGAGUGCCCCAACAUUCCUGUAAGCUUCCAUUGUCCAAACUUCUGGUAGUUAGCAGAUCUGUCUUUUGUUCUCCAUACUAAGUUCAGACAGAUAAGGCCUGGCCAGAAAGGAGGUCUGACUUCAGCUGCUGUCCUCGCCCUUGGCCACCUCUCCACCUAUCUUUCACACUGUCACGAUGGGGAGCUUGUCCUUCUGUACAUGAUUCUCUUUUUGGUUAAUAAAACACUGUUCAUCCAAUGAGGCAGGAAGAUAGGUGGGUCUAGGAGACAAGGAUAACUCUGGGAGAGGUAGAGAGGGCCCACCAGAACAGUCACCAUGUAGGCUGCCAAAGGAGUAACGGGUUUGGACUCUUCUCUGGAAAGACCACGUGGAAAUUAAUAGGAAUGGGCUAGGUUAAUUAAGACAGAUGACGGGUGGCUUGGGCUUAUUAGCUAACAGCUUUAUAAUACAGCAUCUGUUUCUUUGGGGCUGAAGUGGAGGCAGGAAGUAGCCGGGACAAAGAACCUCAUUACACUGUCAGGCUAGGCUAAUCCAGGUAAAGAACAAAGUGUUGGGCAGAUAAUCCAGCCUCUUCAUUGGCUUCUUGUGGGGUUGGCCUGUAUUCUCAAAACACUGAUAAUUCUGUGAAGGUGUUCUCUCGGGUAUUCUGCCAGGGGUGAUGUGUAGAGAGAUGGGGUUUCCCCACAAGGAUCCUGAGCUUGCUGCUUAAGGAACUGAGAACCUAUGUGGAAGGCUACUAGGUCCUGCUUUGGGUUAAGGUAGAAUGAGAUCCUUGUUCUCACUAAAAUGACAUUGGAAAUCCUCAGGCAAUGAACGUUCUAGACUAUCCCUAUGAAGCCACUGGGCAUCUGCCUUUUUCCUGUGACUUUGCUGAUUCAGUGUCUGCUCUGAGUACAUGCCAGUGACCAACUGUCUGGCAUUUUUCCCGGUUUGAUAUUACCCUCCUAGUGAUUGUAUGAAUUCACUGGUGUUAGAGCUUGCACCCCUUCUACUUGCAUUCCCCACCUUCUGACUUUUAAAACCCUCACCUGUUUGAGCUCAACCUCAAAAGCGCACAGUUCAUUAAGAAAGGGCCAACUUUCCUGUUAGCUGCUCUUGAAGGAAAGCUAAAAUUCUCCACUAAAAGGAAAUUUUCCUGUCUUCACAUGACUUGAUCACAAACAUUGACACAUUCAUGGGACAGGAAUGCUAUGAUGGGAGUGACUACUUCUCAGGCAUCUAGUUUCUAACCUUUGAUACUCAGAAUGACACUAUUCCUGAAAUGUCUGGCUGAGGCAUAUUCAGGGGACCCUGGAAGAAUUGAGGACAUCUCCUGAGGUUCUCUAGUACCCAGAUAACCAAGAUCAAACAUACAGUAGCCUUAGAGUAAGGACAGUUUUGAACUCUGCCCUUAAGUCAAGAUGAAUCAGAGCCAUCUCUGUGGGUCCCAACAAGUGGGUAGGUAGGACCCUCUACACAGUGAGUAUACCAUUGUUCUCAGUUGUGUUCAUACUGUAUUUGUCUGGUGUUCUUGUCCAAGCAGAUAUCUGACCGCUGAGAUGCCUGGUACACUGGGGAAUUUGAACUCUGACCCAGACUCAAACUCUCGGGUUCCCAUGGACUCCCCUCUUCCUGAGAUCCCCAUUUUCCACGGGGUGGAGCAAAAACCAAGACCCAUGACAGACAUUAAAUUUGAGACUUCAAUGUUCUGAAGUCAUGUGAUUAUAGGUUUUAUCAGAAUGAGCCAUGAGACAAGGCUGGAUUGAAUUGUCCUGUGUGGUGUUCUAUUUCCGUGUGUUUUUUUUAACCAGUUCUUGGUGUGUCCCUAGAGACAGCUGGCCAAUAGUGAGGCUGGGCAAGCUCCCCAUGGAAGAAAUCCAGAAGGGGGUGGCUUUCUUCCAUCUUGAUCAACUGAUAAUGGACAAAACCUUGGCUCUACAUGUCCUUGUUUUUUGAAGGUCUGCACUAAGGACUGUUUCUCAUUAGGAGGUACAAUCUAGGAGUGCCUUUCUCUAAUUGUUAGGCACUCAAAGAGAUGCUUGGGCAAAUAACGGUCAGCUUGCCAAGUUAGAAGGAACCAGCCAGUAGACACAACCUAAGACUUGGAUACAUAUCUGCCCUGAACAAAUAUUGAAGAGUUCAUUCUUUUGUCCUAGCUUGUUUCUGUCAUGACAAAACAUUGACUAAAAUUGGUGGGGAGGGAAGGGUUUCAUAGUACAAGCCACAGGAGGGAAUCGGCAGAAACCAUCAGUCUGGCUUUCUUGCAUCAAUCAAGAAAAUACCUCACAGCCAACCUGAUAGAAGUGAUGUCUCCAUGAGGGUCCCCUCUCUGCGCUGUCAGGCUGACAAUCAAGACUAACCAUCACAUGGCUUUGAGCUGGAGUCAGUUCGCCUUAGACAAAUGAAUAAAACAUGGAUUAAACUCAUAGCAGGAAACUAUUGCUUGAAGACCUUUGGCAUGACAUAGUAGCCAGGUAGCUUCAGAGCUCUGCUUAUCUAAGUUUUCCUUACAAGAAGGAAAAACAUUUAAAAGAACCGAAAGUUUGCUUAUUUCCAUGGUGAGAAACCAUUGAGCUUGUUCUGAACUUUUGAAGUGUGCCAACUAUAGUAGAUGGUCGGUCUGUCUUUGAGGGGGGGACAAAAGGCACAUUGUAGUGAAGUGUCCUAAAUCCUCAACAGAUCACAGCUCUUAAACUAAGAUGGAAGCCUGAGUCUGGGCAUCUCAAUCUUGUUUCCUUGCGAUGUAUUGGAUCCUUUGCCGCUGAAGCAAGCCUACUGCUGCAUCAGUGAAUUUAAAACUGGGAAAAGAUGCCAGAUCAGGUGUAUAGCCUUUGUAUAGCCUUUAGGCGUCAAUGACAAGAUGGUUGGUUAGAGAAAGCUCCUCACCCUACUACCAAGAAAGUCAGAAAAUCUGCAUAUGGCGAAGGAUCGUUGACAAUAUCCUUCCCCCUUUUUUUAACAUGCUUUUCUGGCUUAUCGUGUAUAACUUGAAUUCAGCAUGAAUUUCUCUUUUAAAGGUCUCUGAAAUAGAAUUUUCAAUGUAUACAAAAGUAAAAUAGACUUAAGAGGAACUUGUGAAACUUUAAUUGAUCAAGAACAAUGCCUUAAAGAUCCUGCUAUUUGACAGCUGCUAAUGUUUCAGUCUGUUCGCAGCAUAGAGCAGAACAAACCAUUUUUCUGUGUUCUAUGCUUUUAAUCAGGAGUUGUGCUAUAGUUUGUCACACUGUCCUAGAAUCUGUCUCUUCACCAUGGUUCUUUUCAACAUCUGAUUAUUUAAAACAUGGUCUAUACUUAAAGCCGUAGGGCUUAAACAGGGUGAAAAUGGGGCUUAUACAUAGGAACCAGGAGCUGCUUUCUCACUUCAGUGAUGUGGAAGAUUACUGUUUAAAUCCAUGCUCUCAGGGGAGCUCAGUAAAGGCUAGACAACAUUGAUGCAUGUUUAGGCAACAACCCAUGGACUGACACUAAUAAACAACUGAUGUCAAAUCUACCUGGUUGCUAAUGAUAGGUCCAGGCUGAAGAAACUUGUACUCCCCAGCAUCUUGAAAUUGGCCCAAAUGGCCGCAAGUGCUUGAGUCACCAAGCCAUCGUAGAAGAUGGAGAUGGUGCCUUCCAUGUUAUGGGAAGAGGGCCAUGGGAAUCUGUUUAGGGGACCCAGGGAGCUGUCCCAACACCUUCAGAAUUCUAUCUGCCUCUUGCACACUGGUAUAGACACUUGUUUGUCCAAAUAACUGAAUAGUGAGUUUCCCAAUGUGAACCUUGCUGUCGCCGCCCCCUCCUCCCAACCCACUCAACUCAAUAGCUCUCUUGAACCUCACUGACUUCCAUUUGCCACCAUGGUCUUUAAGCCAUCAUGACAGCUUGCCAACGCCACCAUGGUCCUCCUGAGCUUCACUCCUCUCCACGGACCACCAGUAGUGCCUGUGAGGUAACUAGUGUCUUAAAUUCUAACUCCAACCCCAAGUAUUGACCAGCAUGAUCCAGUGGCACAAAAGAAUAAACCAGAAUAACUUAGUCAAGCCCUGAUGUUGUGUACAUGCAAAUGGCCAUUCGCUCCCCCACACGAGCAAUGCCAUUGUGCAUUUGGUCUUCAUUGCCCAAAUGAGUUUAUCCUAGGUUGAGCCAGAAGGAUCAAGCUGAGAAUAAGUCACAAUGGUGGCCCCAGUCUAUCUCCCUAUUGUUGGGAGCAUAGCAUGAAGGAUAUCCACCUCUGGAUAUCCAGAAAAACCAGGAAUGGUUAAAGUAGUACAGGUAGUGAAUCUCUAGAACCCACCUUGGAGGAAAUGACAUAUACCGGCAAUUAAGUUUCAAUGUAACAAUUUCCAGGGCCUGAAGCAUGAUUACAUCAGAACCCUCUCUUCAAAUACAUUAGGGAUAAACAGCCUGAUUCAGGUUGAAGUCAAUCCAUUAUCUCUUCACAUGGUCUGCGUCCCUGAAUGAUACCUGCAGGGACCACCUCACCCUAUGAUUUUGUAGGGGAGGUGUGGCAAAUGGAGGUGUGCCAUUACCUUGUCUCCAUUCAGAACACAGAAAGAGCCUGUCAUGUCAGGUACCCACAGAACCUUGUAUAUCCAUCUUCGAAUAUCAAUCUGUCCACAUGCACAGUCAAAUCAAAACACAUCAGAAACCAUAAUUAAGCAAAAGACCAGUAAGAUGUUUCUUAAAUGCCCAAUAUCGGACAAAUCUCCAAAGAUACCUUUCAGUAUGUCUUGGUGUUCGCCAUCUGCUGCAAGCCAUGGAGCCUGCCUUUAAUGGGACAUGUAUACCCAGAAAAGACUUCUUUGGAGAAAACUAAUUUUCUUUUACAAGCAGUUGUCAGCUAGGGAUGAGAGCUUGUGGUCACUUGCCCCUCAACACUGGGACUCCAUCUGACUUGAACCUGUACAGACCCUGUGAAUGCUGCCACAGUCUUAGUUCAUAUGCUGUGUCUGGAAGACACUGCCUCCUUGUUUAUCCAUCCUGGAUGGAUCUUACUUGCAUUAUCCUCCUCAACAUAGUCUGAGGCCUGAGUGUUCCAAGGACUCCUCGCCAGAGGAAAUCUUGACACAGCUUACUAGGUUGUACUCUUAAGAUUUUUCUAAAAGUUUCUCUUAGAAAACGUUCCAAACUUGCAUUCAUUUGGCUUGACUUGAGGUCACCACACUUAAUGGAGUUUUUAACAUUUUUUCCUUUAUUUUAUAGACUGACCAGUUUAUCCUAUUUCCUUCCUGCUACUCCUGUCUACACACUUCCCCAUCCGCUCACUCCAUUCAGAAGGGGGCAGCCUUCCAUGAGCUUGAACACAUCAAGUUGGGUAGGACAAAGCUCCUCCCUCUGUAUUAAAGGAUGAGCAAGGUAACCCAGCAUGGGGAACAGGUUCCCAAAAGCCAGCUAAAUGCCAGGGAUGGGUCCUGAUCUCACUGCUAGGAGCCUUACAGACUAAGCAAAUGCAGAGGGCUUAGGGAGCUUACGUGGGACUGACCUAUGUUGGCCCAGAGUCCAUGUGCUCCCACGAGCUCAGGUCAGCUGUCUGUGGGUUCCUCAGUAACUGACCUUGACCACCACUGGCUCAUACAAUCCCUCCUCCCUUUCUUCAGAAAGCCUCCCAGAACUUGGCCCAGUGUCUGGCUAUGAAUCUCUAUCUGCUUCCACUACUGGAUAAGGGCUCUAACAAUUAAGGCAGACAGCAAUCUAAUUACAGUAGAUGGCUAGUUCAGGCACCCCUCUCCACUUUUGCCAGUCUUGUCAGGGGUCAUCCUUGUGAAUUUCUGGGAGUUUCCAUGGCACCAGGUUUCUCCCUAACCCAAAAUACCCCCCCAUCAAGAUGUAUUUCCCCGCCCUGCUUCAUCCUGCCCCGAACAGCCUCCUGCACCCAACCCACCAAACCUGCUCCCUCAAGUUCCCCCUCCCCCCUCCAACUUGGGCUUUUGCUUGCACACAGAGGUAAGUGAAGGUAGCAUGAUGCUUGGGUCCCAUCCACUGGCUGGAAGGGAUUCCAGGCUCUACCUAUGGCUUCUACUUAUGGUUUGUGGAAACCAAGCCAAGGUCAGUUUAAAUCAUCCUCUGCCGUCUCCAGUGUAGAGUACCCAGGUACUAGCAAGCAGCUGCAAAUAAGACACUGAAAAUGGGAGCUGCAGGUACAUAGGAGGUAUAAUAGUUGAGAGCCCAUAGGACUACUUCUGUUCAAGGCCUUAGCUGAAGUCAGCUUGUAUGGGAAAGAUACAAGAAAUAUAUGGGACAUGAUAAUCUAGAUGUACUGGCUUGGCUUUAUGUGCCAACUUUUGACACAAGCUAGAGUCAUCAGGGAGGAAGGAAGCCUCAGUUCAGAAAAUACAGCCAGAUCUCCUGGAGGCAAGGCAUUUUUCUCAAUUAGUGAUCAAUGGAAAAAGGCCUAGUCCGUGGUGGGUGGUGUCAUCCCUGGGCUGCUGGUCCUGGGUUCUACAUAAGAGCAAGCUGAGCAAGCCAAUGAGCAGCACCCCCUCCAUGAACUCUGCAUCAGCUCCUGCCUCCAGGAUCCCAGCCCUGCUUCAGUCCCUGUGCCUUCAAUAAUGAACUGAUCUGGAAGAGGGUAAGGUGACUUAACAGUGGAAAGCAGAAGGACACAAGAAUUUCUCGGCUUCUGCCCCAGAUAGAUGAGCUUGUCUUUUCUCCCACCCACCUACCCAGCAACGCCUCCUGCUUAAGUCUCUUUCAAGAAGACAGCGACCCUCCCACCUGCUGCAUGAGGGCCGGAGCAUCUGUCAUGAGGUUCUUGACCCAGCCUCCUCUGUUUCCCAGAUACCCAACUCGGGUCUCAAUCCACUACAUCUGUUGGUGAGGUCAUAAAUCAGAGGCGGCUGCAGCCCAGGGUCAGGUCUGGUCAGCUUGCUGAUGGAAUUAGAGUAACGAAUGGAGAAUGGGUGUUUAUAUUAGCUUUGGCUCUGAGUCCAAAAAGGAAGAAUGCUGGCAUUCAAAGACUUGAUCGACUUCAGCACCAACACAUCCUGGGUCAGCAAUUAAAGCCUAAAGAUCCUUCAGGAGGACCUCCCUGGAACUGUGUGGGUCGCCUGAGCAGCCCUGCCUUCAUGUGUGGAAGGAUGGCUCACAGUUGAGUAGCUACCACAGAGGGGACCUCCAUGAGCGCCAGGGAUUUAUCCUGCCGGGAGCUUUCAUGUGUCUCCCCAGAAGAUGGGCUAUCACCCAAGGACAUGAAGAUAGUCUUCACCCCUUGUGUGUCUUGGAGAAUGCUGCAGAGGUGUUAACUCAGUGGUUAAGAGUACCUGCUGCUCUUGGCAGAAGUCCUGGAUUUGGUUCCCAGCACCCAUGACAUGUAGCUUAGUCACCUGUAACUCCAGUUCCUGGGAUCCAAUGCCUCCCUCACCUCUAAAUCGUGUAUGCACACACAUGUGCAGUGCACUCAAACAUUUAGAUGGUUCCAAGAAAUCUUAGAGGGGUAGGCUGUUCUCCAGCUAUGAAACGAGGCUCUUGAAUGACUCAAACUUAAUUUUGAAAAUCCAAGAUUAGAAUAAUUUGUUUACAACUCUA